GGCCCGUUGGUCAAGCGGUUAAGACACCGCCCUUUCACGGCGGUAUCACGGGUUCGAAUCCCGUACGGGUCA
rfam:Terribacillus aidingensis strain MP602, complete genome.